GUUGCCACCAUGACAGGACCAAGUUUGCCAAAGAUUGGUUGGAGGGAAUAAUUACCACCUCUUUCCCAAUACAGUGCCUCCUGUGGCCACUCUAAGCCAGGCCUGGGCACAGCGAGUAUACUAUGUAGGCACCUGUCUACAAGUCACGUGACACCUCCAGCAGCAUCUGCGGACAAGUGUUCAGAUACUGUACUGAUGGAGAUGUCCUUAGAACUGAGCUAGAGUUAGGGUCUGGCUGUCCCACAGUCCCCGUUUUUCCCCUUCCCUCACAGAUGGGUCACGGGAUGAAGAUCGUCCCACAGUCUCUGUCUCCCAGCCUGUGGGAGGCUCAGAAGAGCCCUAUAGGGAACAAGGUCUCUGUGGCUGUCAGAAUGGAAGAAUGGCACUUCAGGGAUUAGGGUAUAUCAAGCCUCUGCCUUGAUAUUCUCUCUCCUCUGUCCUCUGUCCUCUGUCCUCUGUCCUCUCUCCCCUGUCCCCUGUCCCCUCUCUCCUCUCUCCUCUCUCCCCUCUCCCCUGUCCCCUCUCUCCUCUCUCCUCUCUCCUGUUUCCCCUCUCCCCUCUCCCCUGUCCCCUCUCUCCUCUCUCCUCUCUCCCGUUUCCCCUCUCCCCUCCCCCUUCCCCCUCCCCCUUCCCCCUGUUCCCUGUCCCCUCUUCUCUCUCUCUCUCUCUCUCUCUCUCUCUCCCUCCCUCCCUCCCUCCCUCCCUCUCCCUUCUCCACAGCUGCUAUGUUGUCAGGAUCAUGUGAUGUGAGGAUCGUGCCUUCAGCUAAGACCCCAGUAAACCUGGGAGCCCAUAGCUGGCUGUAGUUCUUGCCAACACCUACUCCAAGCUCAUGAAAUGUCCCAAGCCACAGCCACCUGCUCAUCUCCAAGUCCCUGCCUGACUCUAGGAGUUACUGUCGUGCUAAUCUAUCAUUCUUCUCCUCCUUUUAGCAUUAUUCCUUCCAACCAAUCUUUGGCAAACUUGGUCCUGUCAUGGUGGCAACUUCUUUCCAUUGGACUGACACGAUUAGAAGCAAACAUAAAAAUACCUACCCUGCGCCCGGCAGUGGUGGUGCAGGCCUUUAAUCCCAGAGUUUGGGAGUCAGAAGCAGGGGGAUCUCUGUGAGUUUGAGGCCAGCCUGGUCUACAGAGUGAGUUUCAGGACAGCCAGGGCUACACAGGGAAACCUUGUCUCAAACAAACAAAACCAAACAAACAAAAGCAGAUUCUGGGCCAGAGAUGGCUCGGUGGGUAAAACACUUUCCACGAAAGCCUGAAGAUUUGAGUUCAGUCCCUCAAGUACAUGGUGGGAGAGACAACCAUCCUGUGCGUUACUCUUUGAUCCCCACCCAUUCACUGUGACCUGUAAGUACACUCACACUCACACUCACACACACGUAUGCACACGCAUAAUAAUAAUAAUAAUAAUAAUAAUAAUAAUAAUCCCUGCUAAUAUUACAGAACAGCCAGCUAAAGAGACACUGCAGUCACUGGCCUUUCAGUUAAUCCUAUACUGCGUUUCAUAUAUGGGAAGCCAAACACAGAGACAGUGAAACCUGAGUGUAGGGUGUGUUGCGCUCAUCAUAGAAGGUUCUAGAUGUGACUGUGAGGAGCCUUCUUCAGUCCCCUGGACCACAGUUUUACCACUUCAAUAAUGAGGCCGCAGAAUAAUACCUUUUUUUUUUUUUUUUUUUUGGAGACGGAGUUUCUCUGUGUAGCUCUGGUUGGUCUAGAACUAGCUCUGUGGACCAGGCUGUCCUCAGACUCUCAGAGUUCCACCUGCUUCUGCCUCCCAAACACUGGGAUUAAAGGUGUGCCACUGGUGACCUAAAGAUGUCCCCUUAUGCCAGCUACAAAGGUAACAAUGGUGCCUCUAAGGAAAAACAACCUAUGAGGAGAAGAUGUUAGGCAGACCCAUGUGUGUGUGGGUACAGACCCAAACGAGAAGUAAAGUCAGUUGCAGCCAUUUCCUGGAGGUCUAGAGAAAAGACUGAUUAGGUCCCAUCUCCUCACCACAACAGACGCUGCCGCUCUGGUGGUCGGGCCAGCAUCCUGCCUCAGAACUUCUUAGGUUCCACACUACACAGGUCCUGCUCUCCCCGAAGGCCCUGUGUCAAGCUAAAUAUGAGACCUGUCCUUUGUCUUCUGGGCCUCAGUCUCUGCACGCCAUCCACAGGGCACUCAGCCGUGGUGGGACAUUGACGACAGGCUCCCAGCGACGGCCACGCUGCGCAGCAAGCAGCUGCCUGUCACAGAGUAGCAUUGUCACCCACUCCUGGCUCCUUCUACCCAUUUGUCCUUACAAUGGUUCCCCUUCCUGUGGCUGAGAAGGCUUACUGAAAACAAUAAAGGAGGGUUGUGUUGGUCUGAACCCCUCCCUACUGAGCAAUCCCAGCAUACACAGUUGGUCUGUUUUUACAAGUCAGAUCAGCCUCAUCAUUCCUUGAGAGCCCCUCCCCCUCACUUCCGGAUUGCCUUGAUGGUCUGGAUUCCAUUUGCUGCAUAGCAGGACAAGGUUGGCUCUCUGCACACCUCGCCCCAAAACUUGGCUGUGGCGCCACACCUGUACAUCUAAACCCUUUGAAGACACCUUCAUUUCAUGAGCUCAGGGCUCCUGUAGUUUGGGGUUAUCUCUGGAACUCCUUCGGCCUAUUUCAAGAGUGUCCUCCCUGUUCCAGCGCAGGCGCAGAAGCGCCUGAAGCACAGGAAACCUUGUGGCAGACAGCAUGUGGGAGCGGCAAGACCUGGCCCAGCGUAGAUGAUGCUAACACCAAGUGUGAAGAGUUUGCCUUUGUGGUGGCCAUGGAAGGACAGGAACCAAGAGGAUGGGCCAGUGGGAAGAAGCUGUGGGCACGGGCACCCCCGUCUGCACUCCUCAGAGUGGGGCCGGUGCUGGCCGACCAGCCUUCCCCGUGCAUAGAGCUAAGGAGCCAGGAGACCAGAACACACGGGCUCUGGCCUCCACCCAGCAGACAGGAGUCAGAGCAAGUUCAUCACUGCUGGCCCAGCUUCCCACAGAAACCAUCAUGGCUCAUUUCCCACGCACCGCACGUCUCAGAGCAGCCUAGGUGGAAACUUAACUUGAGACAUCUCCUUGCUUCCUUGUUCCUCUUGGCACCUGGGUUGUCUCAGUCCCAGCCCCAAAUUCCUACUGGGCUGGCACCCUCCAGGAUUAGAUUCACCCAGCGUGCCCCAAAGCCUGACGACUGAGCAGGAAGAGACUGGCCAGGCUGGUAGACCUGGAGCGGGGAGCAUCUGCCCCCACUCUGGCCUCCGGUCGCACAGCGGAAGACUCUAGCUAUGGAGACCUCUCUGACCCUUGAACCAAAGCAGCUCCCACAUACAGAGCUCCUAAGAUCAAGAGUCAGACUGCCGGGGCUGGAGAGGUGGCUCAGCGGUUAAGAGCACUGACUGCUCUUCCAGAGGUCCUGAGUUCAAAUCCCAGCAACCACAUGGUGGCUCACAACCAUCUGUAAUGAGAUCUGAUGCCCUCUUCUGGUGUGUCGGAAGACAGCUACAAUGUACUCAUAUAUAAUAAAUAAAUAAAAUAUUAAAAAAAAAAAAA